AUUUCAAGUAAAAGAAAACCACACAAAACAAAUGGUUUUAGUUAACCACAUGCUCAGUAUGAAUCCCAGGGCCUGCCAAAGAAAUCUAAAGUAAUCAUAGCAGCAUUAAUGGAUGUAUGAAGUUUACAAUAAAAUCGAUAACAAUCCCCUUGUUCUCUUGGUUGGCUAGAGCACAUCUGCUGGUGGGUUCAACAAAAGGGGCUCCCUUUAAAGAAGAAGACUGAGAAGCUGGAAUGAAUCCAGAGGAAAGGAUGAAAAGCACUCGUUUGAUUACUGAGAGGAUAGCUGGAGAAGUGAAGAAUAAUGUGAUGUUCAGCUCAAACUCCUUGGGGGAAUUCGGUUGUGAAAAUGGAAUUACCCAAGUUGGAUUCCGCCCAGGAUGCCAAGCUUAAGUUAUUGGGGGCUGACUUUGGAGAAGCCAGUACAGUCCAUCAUACUGUUUUCUCAACUAGUUCAUCGUGACAUUCUGAGAUUUUGAAAGGACACCUUUUCCGUGUCAAGCCGUCCCAGGGUGGCUAAUAUGCCUUUGCUCAUUUUUGACAAGACAGAGGGAGGACAGGGUGACAACACAGCAGGAUAAAAGGGGAGAGAGUGGCUGGAUGCUGGCUGUUUAUGCGUGGAUGUUGAGAGUGGAAAAUGCAGAUGGAACUGAGGGUAAGAUGCCAGGGAGUUGCAAGAGGGCUCCUUCUCUGAAUAACCUCAUAUUCCAGAAAACUCAUAAAAUUGGAAAAUAGUUUUAAACAGUGGAAGCCUUCUCUGAGGCAUUUAUAUUCCCUGUUAAUAAGGUCACAAAUAAUCACCUUUAUUAUCAAUCCAAAUAAAGUAUAUGAUGCUGCUCAUGGUAGGAUUGGGAGAGAACCACCCCAAAAUACCUCCCCAACUAGCCUAGUAAGGUGCCUACAGGUUCUACCCAUACUCUUUCUUUGAGUAAAAGCACUAGCUUUCAAAUAUCCUGAGAAAAUGCUGGUAUUUUAACUGGGAGAAGAAGAUCAAUGGACAGGGACAGGGUUGGUUUAUUUAGCUGUCUGCUAAGAGUGCAAGAGAUUUGCGAUGGACUGAAUGUUUAUGUCUCUCCCAAAUUCAUGUAUUGAAAUCCUAAUCCCAAGGUGGAGUAUUAGGAGGUGGGGCCGGUGCACAACAGCAAGUGCUCUCACAGUGGAGAGCUCUGGGAAGGCAAAAACAUCCAUGUGUUUGGAGGACCCAGCAAAUGAGCCAGCAGAUUCAUGCCAACAUAGACAUGUGUGAGCUACUUAAUGGUUGUGGCUUCACUACUUCCCUCCAACUUUCACACAAUAUCUCCUGUGGUCCACACUAAUGGGAAACACGCAGCAAAGGGAAUUCUGGGAAAUGCAGUUCAGCCUCAUCAAGUUGACACCCAUCAAGCCACCAUACCAGGUCAGUUGAUUCCAGGAUGUGUGGCCUUUCCAUGACAACACAUUGCCCCUCCUCAAAUGGCUCUGUCCAUUGCUUGCUCAAUCUUUACACCCAAGAAAGGCAUUCUUCCUAGGUCAGCUCAGUUUAAGUAUUGAUACCACAGGCCUGGAACAGGGCAAGGCACGGUGGAGAAGGAUCAAGAGGUGAGCAUCAUCCUGAGGAGACCCUACAACAAUUAAACUGCAGUUGGAAAGAAAAAGAGUCUCAUCCUUGGGGUGAGCAUAGUAAGGGUGAGGCACUUGGUCUUCCACAUAUCCCUGGCCCCCAGUACCACUUUCUCCCAUAGCCCCAGGUACAGCUGUGCCGUCUCUGUACUGCACUAAAGUGUCCAGCCGAGGGGGAGGGAAGACAGUGGGCUGAAUUAUAGCCCUGCCUUUCUCCCCAGUCUCAGAGAUGUUUCAGCCCAGAGGAAUAAAAGCUUUUUUCCCAAUCCAUGGGCCUGAAGGAGCCACCUUUUUAUAAUUUGCACAAAGGCAUUAGAGGUAUAACUGUGCCCCUUGAAUCAUCUGCCUAUAGCUGUCUGACAUAAUAAAAAAUAUAUAUUUGGUCUUUUACCCCAGUUCCUGACACAUGGGUCUUAAAACCCUCAUCAUUUCCUGAAUGAUAGGAGUAAGAGGAGCACCAUUUGUUAUAUUUGGUCUUAUUCUCUGUUCCCUGGCACAAGAGCUUUUAAGAACCUUGGAAUCUCCAGAGUGAUGACUGUCUUUUUUAUGCUAAUGAGAUGACUAGUACCUGGGGUCCCUAGCCAGCUUCAGGAUGAGGGCUGGUCACCUGAAAGACCAAGCCUUGAUGACAGGGUUAGAACUUUCAGCCAUAUCUCCCUUCCCCAUUCCCCACCUCAACUUCCUGGGAGGGGAGAGGGGCUGGAGAGUGAGUCAAUCACUAACAGCCAGUGAUUGAACCAACCAUAUCUACACAAUGAACCCCCCAUAAAAACCCUAAACAACGGGGUUCAGAGAGCUCCUGGGUUGGUGGACACAUUCACGUGUUGGGAGGGUGGUGCACCCCAACUCCAUGGGGACAGAAGCUCCUGUACUUGGUACCCUUUUGGACCUCCCUCCAGGUACUGCAUUGUCUGUGUGCUCAUUUGUAUUCCUUAUACUCUCCUUUGUAAUAAACUAGUAAUGGUAGAAUGUUUCUGAGUUCUGUGAGCCACUGCAGAAAAUUAUGAAAGCUUAGGGGAUUGUGAGAGCCCCUGAUCUGUAGGCAAGCCGGAAGUUAUGGGUCACCUGGAGACCCACUACUUGCAAUUGGCAAAUGAAGUGGGGGCAGUCUUGUGGGACUGAGUCCUUAAUCUGUGGGGCUUGUGUUAACUGUCAGCACAAGCUAACCAGUGUCAUAAUUGAAGUAAAGUGGACAUCCAGCACCCAGUUGGUGUCCCCAGAGAAUUGGAGAAUUGCUCAGUAUGACCCACACAUUUGGCAUCAGAAGUGUGAAUAGAGAAAAGGGUUUGUUGUUGUUGUUUGUUUGUUUUUCAUUUGAGAAAGCCAAGCCAGGACAGUUUGCCCAGACUUCAGAGACUGCCUUCAGGCUAGCUCAGCUGCUGGUCUACCUGGCUUAAGCCUGAGAGGACCUCCAUGUGAGGAAAGUCGGAGCAGAGAUGAAAAACCAAACAACUAGUUUUACACUGGUCCUCCCAAAGCAUCAGGACAAUGCCACCUUUGUCAGGGCUUUGAAAAGAAAAUAAAUAAUUGUUAACAGGAUCACAUACUUGGUAUUGUGCUGAGGAUGUUAUAUGAAUUAUUCAUUCAAUAAGUGUUUAUUGAUGACCUACUAUAUGCCAGAAAAUAUUCCAGGUGCUGAGGAUAUAGAAGAAAACAGACAAAAAUCCCUGCCCUCAUGGAAUUUACAUUCCAAAGGGAGAAAGGUAAGAGAAUUUAAAAAGUAAAAUAUAUGAUAUGGAAAUGAUGAUAAAUGUCAUAUAGAAAAAUAAAACAAAGAAGGGUGCUAGGAAAUGCUGGUGAGAGUUGAGGAGGGGAAGGUAGCUCUUUUAAAUGUGGUGACCUGGUAAAGAUCUCACUUCAAACUGAUCUGGGGCCAGGUGCAGCGGCUCAUGCCUAUAAUCCCAGCACUUUGAGAGGUGUAGGCUAGAGGAUCGCUUGGGUUCAGGAAUUUGAGACAUAGCGAGAGCCUAUCUGUAUUUAAAACAACAAACACAAACUGAUCCAGAGGACAUUGCAUCAGACAGAUUAUAUUGUUAUCAUUUCACAGAUUAGGAAACUGAAGCUUAGAAUAUGAAAUCUUUUUCUUAGGAAAAGAUCUGUUUUCAGCUAUUCAUAUGUUAGAGUCUAUCUCUUCCCUAAGUAUUUGCAUGGCACUUGUUCUUUAGCAGUAGAAUGCAAAGCAAUUUGUACACGGUUAAGGAAUUUUAACACCAAAAGUUGUGCUGAAGGUCUGAGAGAAGAGGAGAGCUUUCAUCUCUUGGGACUCCUACAAUCACAAUGCCUUGGUUGGUGGGUCCUGCGUAUCUAGUCUUCCUCUUGACCUAGAACAAACCACUUCUGAUGCUAGGCAGGGCUCUGUGGCCACAGAACAGCUUUAUGUUGUAGUUUUCUCAGCCAAUUUUUAAUUAGACUUUGUUUUUGUUUUAGCAGUUUUAGGUGCACAACAACAUUGAACAGGAAGUACAGAGUGUUCCCACAAACCCCCUACCCUCACACCAUACAAUCUCCCCAACUAAUGACAUAUUGCCAGAACAGACUUAUUUACAAGGUUAACUUUUUCCCUGUCCUGCCCCUUUCUCACAGAUCAAAUCCGGGCUACAGAUUCCGUUGGUAUUGCUCUUUGGGUCCUGAGUCCCCCAUUGCCUACCUGGGCUGCCCAGGCUGUCAGGGGCCUGCCAUUCUCUCCUUGCAGAUGCACAGUACCUGCAGAGGAUGUACAACGGUGAGCAGGGCAAAUGGGCAAACAGAUGUCAUGGCUCCACAGUACUCGGGGCUGCAAGCUGUGUGGCUGAGGGCUGUUCCUGCCUCGUCCUGUCAACUCAGAGAACCUUCUCCCAGCCAAAGUUAUAAAUUCUUUUCUAGGAAUUUCUCAGCCCUGGAUUUCCCCUUUUGCUUUUUAGUUUCUCAUCCUGAGUUGGCUCAGUCUCUUCUUCAGACUUGCCUAAAAACUCCCCUUUUAGUGUUGAGCCUUGAAUAAAUUUUUGUCUGCUGCCACGGCUGAGUCACUGCCUAGGUGCUGUGUCCAUACUGUCUCUAGAAGGCUGCCUGGCCCUGGGGCUGAGAGGAAGCAGCGUCCAGCCAGACACCCACACUUUCAGACAGAGCCGCUUCUGAGAAGCAGUGGGAGCCAACUGGGUACAAGUCACAAGGGUAAGCACCACAGAGAAAUACAGAGAUAAACAAGUCUUGGUUUCUGCACUCACUGGGCCUCCAACUUUGGAAAGAAAGAUAUGAUAAGUCCUAAAACAACCAUAAUCCAAGUGGUAAGUGUCCUAAAUAAUGAGGCAGGUAGAAAGUGUUAAGAGAAAGUCUAAAUAAGUCUUGAAAACUCUUUAAAAAGUCUCAUGGAUUUUAAUACAUGCAGGGCCCUAGAUUGGAUUUGGAUGGACGGACUGACAACAGAAAGGGCAUUUCUAUGAAUAUCCCAAUACUCUGUGUGCCCCGUCUGAUCAAAGUACAUAAAUAGAGUAAGUAUAACUCCUUUAUUAUUGAGCCUACUUAAAGCAUUUGUAGAAUCCUGGAUAAAUUUUUGUAUAAUUUUUUUCCUCCCUGUAUAUAUAAGAAAAAAAAUGAUUCUAAACAUUUGAAAACAACCCAGAAUGCAACUUUUGUCUUACAGUUGUUUACCAUAGUGUAGUGCUGUGCUAUUAAGAAUAUCCACGCAGGAUAUAGUUUGGCAGGUGGGGAGAUGGGGAGGGGGAUGGAGAAUGUCAUUAUCAGUUUUUCCCAUAAGAUUUUGAAGUUAACUUCCUGGCAUUUUUGAUGCAAGUUCUUGAUCAGAUUUAUAACUGAAGCACUUAAUAGUCACUAGCAGUUUCUGAGUUAGGGAACGUUACCUGAAAAUAAUUACCUAGCUGGUUUGCAGUACUUCAGAUUUGAUUAUUAUUAUUAUUAUUAUUAUUAUUAUU
rnacentral:lncRNA from 1 species